CUCCUUCCCAGGCCUCCUCUUCCUCUUUGUCCUUCCCCCAUCCUCGGUCGCCAGCGCUUCUCCGGCAGCCUCGUCCUGAAAUCGUGCGAUUGUGAGCUAGAAGCCUUCUGGGUCACUCAUAAACCAAAGAGAAAAUAAGGCAGCACAUAUUUCCCAUAGAAAUGUGGAAUGUAAGAAAGGCACAUAAAGCAAUCCAAGUUGCCUGCAGAUAUCCACAGCCUACUUCAGUCUCAGUAAUGCUCUUUUAACCUGGUGCAUCAGUUUAAGGGAAGACAUGAGAUCAUGGGUUUAAGUGAGGCUUCAUCAUGCCAAGACAACGUGAUCAG
rnacentral:lncRNA from 1 species